AGUCUCCUUCUGCUCACCUUCGCAAACAUGAUCAAAGCCUUGACCUUCUUGGCUGCAGUGGCCGCAGUUUCUGCCUCUCCUCAACAAUUUUUAAAAGAUGUAACAUGUGAGGGAGCUGAUAAUGUGACCUCGUGUGAGGCUGAUGUGAGUACUGUUUUAUUUUGUUUAAUUACCUCAGCCAAGGAGGUUAUGUCUUUGGUAGCAUUGAUUAGUUUGUUCGUUGGU